rnacentral:lncRNA from 1 species
CCCGCCCGCAGCGCGGAGCCUCGGGGGGCGCCGCAGGGGGGACGGGGCGAGGGGAGGGAGCCCUCUACCCCCGAAUGGGCGACGCAGGAGUCCAUCCUCCCAAGAACUUUCAGCGCCACCCCGCGUGUGCACGGACGCACCCAGGUGGUAGACGCCGACCUCCGGACGGAUGCCCUGUGACAUCCCCCGGCGGGGCUGGUCUGCCUCCCGCUCCGCACCUUCGAUCCGCCGCGGAGCCCUGCCUUCCAGAAUGGUCUCUCCUCUCGGGGACUAACGGUUGCGUGUCAAGCCCCUCCGGCCACAGACUGUUACUCCUGAGCUUCCUGUUAGCAUGUAUAGGAUCGUCUCCUUUUUCAUCGAAACGCACGCUCGUCACCCUACUGCUAGCCUUAACCUACAAUGAUUCCAUUUCAGCUGCCCUUGCCUGUGGGGAAAGCUUCCUGAACGUUGUUAUCUCAUUGCAAGCGAGGAGUCCGCUCCUUUAUGCAAAACGAUUUUAUUUAUUUAUUCAUGAGAAAGAGAGAGAGAGAGAGGCAGAGACACAGGCAGAGGAAGAAGCAGGCUCCAUGCAAGGAGCCCGAUGCAGGACUCGAUCCCAGGACUCCGGGGUCACGCCCCGGGCCGAAGUUUAAAAGCCCUCUGGAUGAAGACAGCAAGUGUCCUGCCAAAUACAUUCUUCUAAUUCUUGUGAAAGUCAGAGUAAUAACAAAAAGAGACUGGAAGCUUCCCAAACAGGGGAAAUGGUGAACAAAUGCCAGGGUCAGGAGAGAGUCGAGUCUACUUAGGCCACUGAAGAACCAGCCUGGUGGAGGCAGACACUGAACGAGACGUUUGGAAAGACAGGGUGACGCCAGAUUCAGGCUACAGAUUGCUUACAAGACCAGGCCAAGACAUGUGCCUGAGCCACUCACGAGGCAACAAGAACUUAUAAAUGAUCAACUCUGACUGAUAAGAUUAAAAUGUUUUUAUUUUUAUUUUUUUAAGAUUUUUAUUUUAGGUGUGCCUCGGCGUCCCAAACUACUACCCUAAGACUGCUCAGGCAGUGAUGUUUCAAAAAGACUGAAAUUAAAAGAUUCUGAAAGAUGGCAGACUGGUGAGGCUCAACCAACACCUCCCAAGUUCGUGCUGUUCCUCUGGGGCCCUGCAGGUCAGUGACCACAAGCCAGUUCCUGUCUUUGAGGAGCUCAAAUUGACUGGGAGGGGUACCAACAAAAGUGUAGUGUGGUGGGUAUGACAACAGGACCUGCUGCAAAGUCUGGUGGGAGAGAAGAGCCCAACGUAGUCUGGAAAGAAAGGCAGAAGGUAAAGGGACAGAAAGCUGGGAGACUCUGUCCCCAGCCUCACCUGUGGAAAGUUAGCUAUGAGGAAAGGGAAGAACUUUACAGGGCAAAGCAAUGAGCUGG